rnacentral:tRNA from 1 species
GCGGGAGUAGCUCAGUUGGUAGAGCAUCUGGUUGCCAUCCAGAAGGUCGCGAGUUCGAAUCUCGUCUCCCGCUCCA